rnacentral:lncRNA from 1 species
AAAAAUGCCUUUAGUUGUCAAAUGUAAAAUUUGUGCCAGUUUCGUCACAUUCUAUUUUUCAGGAGUGCUGUAAAACUAAAGAUGUUGUCUAUUAACAUCAGUUUAACUUUACAUGUUUUUCCCAUCUCGCUUAGUCAAUUUUCAAAACAAAAAAAAAGUGCAUUAGGCUCAAGGAAUCUAAAAUGACUUUUGUGGUGCUCAACAGAAUGCCUUCUCUUAAACUAAAUGUCAAAAUGUACUUUCUAAGUAUGGGCUGGUUACAGAGAAUGAACGAGAAAGCACUUCAUAAAGUGCAAUGAAAUGAAGUCAUAGAAGGAAUUCUUUAAGAAUUUGGAAAGCCGUGAGGGAGUACGAAGUUCUGUUAUUACUGUAAUCAUUAGCUCUCUUUUGGUUUUUCACUUUAUGAAUUAGAAU